UAACACGUAGGUAACCUGCCCAUGUGUCCGGGAUAACUGCUGGAAACGGUAGCUAAAACCGGAUAGGUAUACAGAGCGCAUGCUCAGUAUAUUAAAGCGCCCUUCAAGGCGUGAACAUGGAUGGACCUGCGGCGCAUUAGCUAGUUGGUGAGGUAACGGCCCACCAAGGCGAUGAUGCGUAGCCGGCCUGAGAGGGUAAACGGCCACAUUGGGACUGAGACACGGCCCAA
rnacentral:rRNA from 1 species